rnacentral:tRNA from 1 species
AUUUAUAUAGUUUAACUUAAAACAAUUCAUUUUCAAUGAAUAAAUGAGAAAUAAAAUCUCUAUAAGUA